UGAGGAAUAUUGCACAAUGGGCGAAAGCCUGAUGCAGCAACGCCGCGUGAGGGACGACGGCCUUCGGGUUGUAAACCUCUUUUAGCAAGGAAGAAGCGAAAGUGACGGUACUUGCAGAAAAAGCGCCGGCUAACUACGUGCCAGCAGCCGCGGUAAUACGUAGGGCGCAAGCGUUAUCCGGAAUUAUUGGGCGUAAAGAGCUCGUAGGCGGUUUGUCGCGUCUGCUGUGAAAACCCGAGGCUCAACCUCGGGCCUGCAGUGGGUACGGGCAGACUAGAGUGCGGUAGGGGAGAUUGGAACUCCUGGUGUAGCGGUGGAAUGCGCAGAUAUCAGGAAGAACACCGAUGGCGAAGGCAGAUCUCUGGGCCGUAACUGACGCUGAGGAGCGAAAGGGUGGGGAGCAAAACAGGCUUAGAUACCCUGGUAGUCCACCCCGUGAAACGUUGGGAACUAGUUGUGGGGGUCCAUUCC
rnacentral:rRNA from 1 species